CAUGCAAGUCGAACGGACCGAUCCCGUUGCAGCGGACUGAGGAUUCGUCUGACGUCCAAAGCGUGGGAUAGGUUAGUGGCGCACGGGUGAGCAACACGUAGGUGACCUGCCCCGAAGAGGGGGAUAACUGCUGGAAACGGCAGCUAAUACCCCAUGUGGUCGGCGAUUCGUUUCGCUGAUUAAAGCUCCGGCGCUUCGGGAGGGGCCUGCGGCCGAUUAGCUAGUUGGUGGGGUAAUGGCUCACCAAGGCGAUAAUCGGUAGCUGGUCUGAGAGGACGAUCAGCCACACUGGCACUGACACACGGGGCCAGACUCCUACGGGAGGCAGCAGUGAGGAAUAUUGCGCAAUGGGCGAAAGCCUGACGCAGCAACGCCGCGUGGGCGACGAAGGCCUUCGGGUUGUAAAGCCCUUUUCUGGGGGAAGAGGAAGGACGG
rnacentral:rRNA from 1 species